UUCAAAUACGUUGUCUUGCCCUCUUUGCUAAAACAAUCAUGAGCUUCUGCAUUGAUCAAGGGAUUUACUUUAACACCGAAAUUUGGAAGGCUGUCCGUGGAAGGCAGGGCUACUCUGGGCUGGUCUUCUGACUGGGCAAACAAGCUCUCACGAGGAAGGUUACUUUGACACUGCUGGCACAAGCGGGAGGGAGUGGUAUCUGAGGGUAAGCCUUUUUGCUGGGUACUAUUUAUUUUCAAAUAGCUAUUUCCUGUUGAAGUAUUUGCACUAACAACAUCAAGAGACUAAGAGGGCUCUGGUAUGAGUAUUCAGCCAUCAGGAAGGUUGCACAUAUCCAGCCACCGAGGGUCUGAGCCAUUCUUGCUAUGGGUGGAAAGGGCCUCUUCUCAUGAGGGAUUCCUGAUGCCGUCAUCUUACUGGAGGUCAGAUUAGGAAGCGUGGUUCUGUCCUUUGCUGCUAUCAAGCAGAAUAUUCCGUGGGAACAUUGCUUGUUAGUGCUUCUUGACUUGUGAAGGUGACGGAUGGGAUGGAGGAGUUCAUGAUGACUCCCAGAGGUGUAGGCCCACGGCCAUCUAGCAUUUCCCAGAGCGGACAUUCACGCAGACCCCUGGGGUGCCAGUUGAAUGAACUGGUAGCCUAGGGUGAGCCUGCGGUGGGGUCUUGUGACAGAGUUUAAUACUUUAUCAGAGGCAAAAGAGGUCACAGAGCAGAGCUGCUAGGUGGCAGCCAGCUCUGCCCUGCUUCCUGCAGGUGUCACCCCGGGGUACCUCAUCUGUUCCAACUGUUCUGUUGCAAGCUUGAGGCUGACAGCAUCUGGGAAGCUAGAGCUGAGCUGGUCUGAUGCGCCUUUCUGUGUGACAUGAACUUGAACUCUUGGCCAGCAUUGUCCACUGUUAGAGUGGUUUCACCUGUUUGAACUCUAUCUGUGGUAUGGCUGCCUACUGGAGUUUGACUCCAGGAACCUGCUUUGUGUCCUUGUUGGCGUACACCCCGGUGUGCCUGAAUUCUGAGCUAUGUGCUCUUUUUCUGUGGCUCAGGAUGGUAGUCAUUUCAUGCACGCCUAAAUUCUGAAUUUCUCAGUGGCAUCUGGUCACCAGCCAAAGGAUUUUGUGCAGUGCUGAGGGUGCUGAGGCCAAAAUGCCAUGUCAGGGAAAAUAAAGAAAGCAUCCCUUGAAUCACUCGCCUCUGGGAAUCAGCCAAGUCUGAGAAUCUCAGAGGUCCUUCAGCCCGUCCCCAUGCACAAAGCUGGACUGCUCUCCCCUGCCUUAGGGAGAGGGUCCUUUCAAAAGCCUCCGGAAGACAAGAUUCUACAUGCGCCCUCCAUCAGCUCUUCCCAGUCAAGAAAGAGAAGAGCUGUUUAAGUCUGGAAGACUCCCAACUGGUAUGGCAUGGAAGGAGUGGCGUGUUCUCACAUGCCAGAGGGUGCAGACCCUGUCCGCUUCCAUGCCAGGCUCAGCAAAUGGGUUUGGGCAUGUCGUGUGUCUGCCCCGGACAGAGCAAACCCUCACACGGGGGUGAGUAUGGCGAUCGGUUCGGAGAGAUGCCUCGCCGCCUUCUUUCCCUUCCCCACCCUUUCAGCUCCUCUGUAUUUCUCAGAAAUAAAAUGCUCUUGUUAGA